AGUGAGAUUGCUGGAUCAAAUGCUAAGAGUAUGCUUAGUUUUAUACGAAACUGUCAAACUGUGUUUCAAAGUGGCUGUACCAUUUUGCGUUUCCACCAGCAAU
rnacentral:pre_miRNA from 1 species